AUUCAACUGACGAGUCCCAAAUAAGACAAACGGACAUCCUGAAU
rnacentral:hammerhead_ribozyme from 1 species